rnacentral:rRNA from 1 species
UACGUAGGGUGCGAGCGUUGUCCGGAAUCACUGGGCGUAAAGGGCGCGUAGGCGGCGUUUUAAGUCGGGGGUGAAAGCCUGUGGCUCAACCACAGAAUGGCCUUCGAUACUGGGACGCUUGAGUAUGGUAGAGGUUGGUGGAACUGCGAGUGUAGAGGUGAAAAUUCGUAGAUAUUCGCAAGAACACCGGUGGCGAAGGCGGCCAACUGGACCAUUACUGACGCUGAGGCGCGAAAGCGUGGGGAGCAAACAGG